rnacentral:rRNA from 1 species
CCUACGGGCGGCAGCAGUGAGGAAUAUUGGUCAAUGGACGCAAGUCUGAACCAGCCAUGCCGCGUGCAGGAAGACGGCUCUAUGAGUUGUAAACUGCUUUUGUACGAGGGUAAAUGCCGAUACGUGUAUCUGGUUGAAAGUAUCGUACGAAUAAGGAUCGGCUAACUCCGUGCCAGCAGCCGCGGUAAUACGGAGGAUUCAAGCGUUAUCCGGAUUUAUUGGGUUUAAAGGGUGCGUAGGUGGUUGGUUAAGUUAGUGGUGAAAUUUCGAGGCUCAACAUAGAAAUUGCAUGUGAUACUGGCAGGAGAGAGAGUAGUUGCGGUAGGCGGAAUGUAUGGUGUAGCGGUGAAAUGCUGAGAAAUCAUAAAGAACACCGAUUGCGAAGGCAGCUUACCAAGCUAC